UGGCAUGGUGGUUAUGCACUUGGCUGCUAACCAAAAGGUCAGUGGUUCAAAUCCACC
rnacentral:tRNA from 1 species